UCCCUGUUGGCUCAGAUGGUAAAGAAUCUGCCUGCAAUGCAGGAGACCCAGGUUCGAUCUCUGGGUUGGGAA
rnacentral:tRNA from 1 species